CCAGAAGAUGCCAUAACUAGCCUAAAACCAGUCAAGGGAAUUAGACUGACCGCAUGGCACAACACCAAAAGUUAAGCUGCGUUACGUGAGCAAAACAAACACACGGACGGAAAUAGAUUACAAAAUAAAUUCAUGUCUUUCAACAGCAACCAAGCCUGAAACUGAUCUGCGGUCCGUGCCAGCCGUUAUCAAUGCCGUCCACUGAGCUGGGGCAUUGUGGGACUGAUUGUUGCGGCUGGAGAAAGAGGCCCAAGAGACUUGAGCCAAGCCCCAAAUCAAAUAUGUGCUUUGGAUUUGUUCUGUUCCCAUCAGUGUUAAUUAAUUCUAAGGACGUUGGCAUGGAUCAGAGAUACUGGUAUUAGUAUACGUGGUGUAAGGGAAUUGUGAAAUCAUGACUUUAUGAAUGCAAGAAAGGACAGCA